rnacentral:ncRNA from 2 species
GAUGACGAGAUCCGGCGCGAAGCUCUGGCUGGCCGGACGGCAACCCUCUCACCGUGGUGGGGUGCCCCAGAUGACCAUCCGGCUCCGGUUCCGCACCGCGGCAAGCACGGAUU